GACGAACGCUGGCGGCGUGCCUAAUACAUGCAAGUCGAACGCAGUGGGGACGGGUGAGUAACACGUGGGUAACCUCCCAUCAGAGGGGAUAACACUUGGAAACAGGUGCUAAACCGAUACGGAUGGCUGGACCCGCGGUGCAUUAGCUAGUUGGUGAGGUAACGGCUCACUACGGCCACGAUGCAUAGCUGAGCUGAGAGGGUGAUCGGCAACACUGGGACGGAGACACGGCCCAGACUCCUACGCGAGGCAGCUGUAGGGAAUCUUCGGCAAUGGACGAAAGUCUGACCGAGCAACGCCGCGUGAGUGAAGAAGGUUUUCGGAUCGUAAAACUCUGUUGUUAGAGAAGCGGUAUCUAACCAGAAAGCCACGGCUAACUACGUGCCAGCAGCCGCGGUAAUAC
rnacentral:rRNA from 1 species